GUUUUUAUAGUUGAAAACAACAUCUGCUCUUCAAGCAGAAGGUUUGAGUUAAAAGCUCAAUAAAAAUG
rnacentral:tRNA from 1 species